rnacentral:rRNA from 1 species
UACAGAGGGUGCAAGCGUUAAUCGGAAUUACUGGGCGUAAAGCGUGCGCAGGCGGUUGUGCAGUACCGUUGUGAAAUCCCUGGGACCGUCAACCUGGGGAAUUGGCAUGUGGAUACUGGACGGCUAGAAGUGCGGUAGAGGGUAGUGGAAUUCCCGGUGUAGCAGUGAAAUGCGUAGAGAUCGGGAGGAACACCAGUGGCGAAAGGCGGCUCACCUGG